CCCAGUCGUAUACAGCACGAGCUAUCAAACGCGCGCGUGUUCCAACAACUUUAUAUUUGCGGUCAAAUAAAAGUUUGUUACUGAAAAAUAUAGUGACAUUACACUUUCGCGAGUGCAAACGUUACUUUGCAUAAUUUAAAAUUGGAUUGAAUUUAUUUUUGUUUUUAAAAUUAAGACUAAGAUCACUUUUCUAUUAAGUAAACAGAAACGCACAUAAAACUAUCAUUAGUUUAUGGCAUCAGUAUUAAACUGGAAAUCGUACGAGACAGACGUGUAAAAAGACGUAGUUAUAACAAAUAAAGUGUGAUUAAAAGAGAAAAAAGAGUGUAGUACAGUGAAAAGGUGUUAACUACAGUGAAAUUCAUAGUGAUGUGACAACACCAUGGAUCCUCAAGAAUUAGUCCCUUUAGAAGCGGGUGUUCUGCGAGCCCCGCAGCGUACGCGGCGCCGCGUCACCCCGCGGCCCAGCUGCCAGGGCCCGGUCAGGCUGUGUCGACUGCUCGCGCUCGUCAUCCUACUGCCCAGUCUGUUUAUACUCAUACCACUCUACCUGAGAUACAGGGUGUACUCCAGUCAAAUGUACCCGAUGAGUAUGACAGAUAUGCGGCUGAUAGACAGCAAGAUAUCGCCCACUUGGUGCCAGCGCCAAGUGGUCCGCUCGAACGCGACAUUCAACGCGUUCGUGGUCCCGUCCCAGCCCAGCUUGACGGACCAGCUGGUCCCCGUCUCCAUGACGCGCCAGUUGGAGCUAGAGGACGACAUGAAGGAGUACUGGGGGUUCUAUCUGCUGCGGGGCUCCGCUGUCACCGUGUCUGCUUGUGUCAGGUGGCCAGGAGCGUCCCUCAUCAUGAUCAAAGGCUACAAGCACCUCCAGAACUGCGCAUACAUAGGCGACGACUCCUCUGAGGAGCUAGAUGAGCUGCUGGACGCCCACGCACUAGGACUGCUGUCCAACGACACCCUGCUGGAGAAGAUACGCGAGCUGAAGAAGGUGGACGGGAAGGCUAAUGAUCCAGAAACCAUGAAGCGUCACAAAGCCGGAGUCAAAUUCCACGAUCCGAGCAUCAAAGCCAACGCCACGUCGCCUGACCCUGUCCCGGCUGCUGACGUCACCGACCAUGAUCCACAGGAACUCAAGCAGAUCCUGGAACAUCUCCACGCCCUGCGCCAAGCUCAGAAGGACGAGUCAUUGAAGUACUACCAGCCGCCGUCACAUCUCAUGUCUCUGCCCGCCCUGCAUCGGCACAGGGACACUAACGUCGACCGCGACGAAAGGAGGUGGCUGUCUUUUAAAGAUAUCGACGGUAACAGCGAACAGAACAACAAUAAAAGGAAGAACAAUACACAAAAAAUAAAUGUAAAAACAUAUAAUAGUGAAAAGGAAAUCAACGAUAUAAACAGAAGACCUAAAAUCCCAGUAACAGAUAAUAACAGUAACAACAUUUUAAUAGUCAACAAACAAUUACAAAAUAUGACGAUUGAAGAUGUAAAAGAAAACAGGAAAGAAAACGCUGGGAUUAAAACAGAUGAGAAAAGUGUGAAUCUAGAAAUUGUGGCACCUAAAACGGAAGACGGAAAUAAAAAAUCAGAGAUUGUCGAGUCUAAAAGGAACGAAACAAAUGACAACCAAGAUAUACUGCCCAAAGCAGACGAAAGACUUGAAAAUUCGGAUAUUCUACUGCCUAAAGUGCACGUAAGAAAUGAAGCUUCAGAUAUUGGACUGCUUAAGACGGAUGACAAAAAUGGGACUCCAGAUAUUGUAGUGGCUAAAACUGAAGAUACAAAUGAUAAUUCCAAAGUUGUUGUGACUGAAACAAACUAUACACCUGCAGGCAUUGCUGGUGAAGUGAUAGAUAAUGGAAAUGAGGCAAGCCAAUCAGGCGACGCUACUUCUAAAGAAGUAUUCGAAGACGUCCUACAAAAGCUGCAAGCUCUGGGAGACAGAGGCAAGCGAGUGCUGGUGAGGCUGCAUGAGACCAUGGGGGUCAAAUACCAGGAGACGAAGUCUCACGAACGCAUAAUGUCAGCAGUGCGCGGCAGCGACGAGGAGCUGGACAGACUGCGACAGGUGCUGGUGGAAGCCAUCGACGAGGAGAAAUCGAGGACAACGAGACAGCAAAAACGCAAAGAUGCUCGGAACGAAGCUCGCGCCAAAAGAGAGCUGUUCCUAGGUCAGGCUGACCUUGAGAAGGAGCUCAACGAAGAUGACGAGCCCAGGAACUACGCUGCUGAAGAGGAUCUAGAACCUGACGGCUUCGCGGAGCACCACGUUCACCUCAACGAGACAACAGCAUUCGACAUGAGCAACUCUGAGUUUUGGUCAUCCUUCUCCAGCAGCGAGGAGGCGCUACUGGAGUGUGAGGGGCUCAUCCUCAACCUGCCCCUGACGCCACAUUCAUCAUGUCACAAAGAAGCAACUGAUGGGGAUACUAUUGCUGCUGCUAGGGCUAACGCCUUGACUUACAGGGUACCAGCAAACGGCUACUACUUCUUCGUGUUCAACUCAGAGAACGAAGUGCAGAAGAACUACAUCCGCGCGAGGUUCGACCUUCAGAAGACCAGAUAUGAUGUAGCACGGACCACGCUGAGGGAAUGCACCAACAGCACAGAUAGAUGUGACCUCACACUGGAUAUCUUCUCUAGCCAGAAGCCAAAAGGUGAGUCUCGUCUAGCUGAAGCUGAACCUAAUACUUCGACCUUCAGAAGAACGGAUAAAUGAUACGGCGCGAUCCUCGCUGCGGGAGUAUGCCAACAGCAUAGAUAGGUGUUAUGUGAUCUGACACAAGAUCUCUUCUCUGGUCAAACAGUGGUACUAGAGGUGCCUCUGCGCAACAAUGACUCGUUAUGGAACGAACAGUUCGUGAUCAUCAGCGAAUGCGAACCCAGGACCUCCAUAUACUUGUUCUGCGUCAUCUCCGUACCUAUACUCAUACUGAUCUUCGC
rnacentral:misc_RNA from 1 species